rnacentral:sRNA from 1 species
GUUUUUUGGAUUUUUUUUUGGUCUAGUUACA